GAUGAACGCUAGCGGUAUGCUUAACACAUGCAAGUCGUACGGGAGUUUUUAACUCAAGUGGCGGACGGGUGAGUAACACGUGAGAAUUUACCUUUAGGAGGGGGAUAACAAUUGGAAACGAUUGCUAAUACCCCCAUAUGCUUUUUUAAGUGAAACGGAUUUAUUCGCCUAAAGAAAAGCUCGCGGCUGAUUAGCUAGUUGGUAAGGUAAUGGCUUACCAAGGCGACGAUCAGUAUCUGGUUUGAGAGGAUGAUCAGACACACUGGAACUGAGACACGGUCCAGACUCCUACGGGAGGCAGCAGUGGGGAAUUUUCCGCAAUGGGCGAAGCCUGACGGAGCAA
rnacentral:rRNA from 1 species